ensembl:lincRNA
AUGGAGCGCUCUGGGCCCAGCGAUGUGACAGGCUCAGACGCAUCGGGACCGGACCCGCAGCUUGCGGUCACCAUGGGCUUCACGGGGUUCGGUAAAAAAGCUCGCACAUUUGACUUGGAAGCAAUGUUUGAACAAACUCGAAGAACAGCUGUGGAAAGAAGUCGCAAAACACUGGUGAGACAGCCAGCAAGACAGCGAGGCUGCAGCAGCAUGGGGACAGAGUGCAGAAAGAGGUCGCAGAAGCCUUGGAAGAACGUCAUUCAGUCAUACAAGGACACCCUGAUGCUUGCGCUGUGGUCCUUUCCAAGUCCACGGGGCGUUGUUCCUUUGUGUCAACACCAGAUAAGACUCAUGGGCAUUGCUGUCAGUGUUGUGUGUGUUAUAAUACCAGGGACCCUCACAUGGCUGUGUUAGAUUCUAACCAAUAGAAAAUAAUAAGUCAAAGCAAAGACCGUUACUGAUUCCUUCCAUUGUUUCUUCAGAGACUUUGGUUUAGCGCUCUGAACUUUCUGAUUAUCAGAUCUUAUGUGUUUGCUAAUAUAUAAAAUAACAAAUUAGGCAUAAUGCCCUAUAAUUUUCUCAGUUUGAUUAAUUGCCUGAAAUUUGAUCUAUCAGUCAGGGUUUGAUUAGAAUAGAGAAAUCACAUGUAAUUUGAACAAGGAAAGAUUAAUACGAAGAAUUGCCAGCUAUAACGGUUUUGGAGCAAUGAGGAUUGGCUAGUAAAAAGUAAAGAGAACUCUAAGGAAUAUAAGAAUAACAGAUAAAAGGAGCGUCAACCCCUGGGGUUGAGAUACAACAUCCAGGGCCUCUGGGAUUAAGAUCCAGACCCUGUUUGAGGGGGCAUGGCUGUGGCUCACUGAAUGAAGAGAAGUUGCUGUGGUAGAAAUCUGUCUCAUCAGAAUCACUCUGCUAUAAUACUGCCUUGUGGAGGUACUGGUGGAAGAUACUCGGUGCUGCUGACUGCUGUGCACUUCAGGAGCUUGACAAUGGAGCAAACUGCACGGGUUCUGGAUCUGGACACUGGAGAAGCUGUGUUGCAGUACAGAACCCUGCCAAGAGGAGCACACAAGACUCUUGGAAAGAAGAGGAAAAUCUCCUCUUACAAUGUCGAUCUAACAUCAUGCCAACUAGCAAAGGAAAAAUGUUUAGAGGGUCCAAGUUCAUUUCUGCAGAGCAGACAUGAAAGGUUGAAUUCGGAGCUGAGAGACAAUAAGUGGACAACUGGCACAUUUGGUCAAACUUGUAAUUUUAUAUCUUAGAUGGACAAAUUAAACACAAGUCCAUAGGUGUUUUCCUUACAAGCUUACAUUUAAAUUUGGGAUCCUGGUCAGAAUUUUGCUAAGGACUUCAUUCUUUCCCAGUGUUUCAGGAAGGAUACCGUGGGGCCAGAGCCACUUUUCUUUAUUGUAAGGUCCUGGGCUGUGGCCCCUUUUGCUUUUCUGGGCUUCUUUCUCAUGGGCGUCUGUUUUGGGAGCUUCAUUUCCUCAUCUGCUUUGACACUUUAAUCUUGGACAUUGUAGUGAAAUGCUUCACAUUGUCACACAUUCUAAUCUCAGAGACCACUCCAAAUCUUUUUGAAUUUUCUUGGCCAUUGGAAUUAGUACUCUGGAAUCAGUACAUUAAGAAUGGUUUUUUAAAAACUAUGAGCUAGAAUUUCCACAUUUUAGAAGAAAUGGUCAGUAUAAAUUUGGAGAAGCAGUUUCUAGCUAGUAGUAGCUGUGCAGAAAAACAGUUUUAUUGAUAAGUAUCUGAUUUGGAUUUAGGAACCAGCUAGGAUGAAAAAUUCAAUUGAGGUCUGGCCAGAUAGACAUAAAUUUUAUUUUUCCUUUAUAUUCUGUGUCCAAAAGACAAAUUGUCAUGAGUUAUUUUUUUUUUUUUUCUGAAGUAUCCGUUUGUUUCUCAGCUUUGGAAUUAGAGGUGUAGAAAAUAAACGGGACUCAACAGCCUAAGAUUUUGUUUAAAAAGAUGUUCUUAUUUAUUUAUAUUAAAAAAUUUCUAAACUUUUUUUUUGCAAGAAACUGUAUGUCAGCAUUUUCAUUUUUGAUAGAUAAAUUUUAUAUUUGGGAUUUUGAUUAUUAAGUUGUUUCUCCACCAGAAUUCCUUAUGGAUUUUUGUAAUAAUCUGUAUUUAGUGUGUUUAAUUAUUUGCUUUCCAUUUAUAUUUAUUUUGGGAUUUCUUUUUUAAGAGAAUGGCACCCGUGACAGCAUACUGUUAAUAUUACCCUUGUAUCAUACUUUACCGUGCCAUCUCUGAAGAAUAUUACAGACCAUUUUGGAGCAUGGUGAAUAACAAAUUUUUACCUUAGGAGUUCACUUGAAUAGUCAUUUUUAUAUUUGUGACUGCAAGUCACUUUUAGGGGCUGUAACUUCCUUAGUACUGGUAGCAUUAUUAUCCAAUGGACUUUUAUAGCUUUCAUUAGGUUUUCUUAUGUUUUUGUUCUUUAAAGAACAUUUUACUUAACUUAGUAUUUCAUUUUUCAUCUAUAUUAUGAGGCAGUAAGAGUCUUCUGUUUUUCCAAAGUUGAGACUGCUUUAUAUUUAUUUCAUAUUGUCUACGGCUGUAGUGUUCAGUACAUUAGCCACUAGCCACAUGUGGUUAUUUAAAUAAGAUAAAAUAAAAAUUGGCCGGUCGUGGUGGCUCACGCCUGUAAUCCCAGCACUUUGGGAGGCCGAGGUGGGCAGAUCAUGAGGUCAGGAGAUCGAGACCAUCCUUACUAAGACGGUGAAACCCCAUCUCUCUUAAAAAUACAAAAAAUUAGCCGGGCGUGGUGGCGGGCGCCUGCAGUCCUAGCUACUCAGGAGGCUGAGGCAGGAGAAUGACGUGAACCUGGGAGGCAGAGUUUGCAGUGAGCCGAGAUGGCGCCACUGCACUCCAGCCUGGGGGACAGAGCGAGACUCCAUCUCAAAAAAAAAAAAAAUUAUUAAGUUCUUUAGUUGCACUAGCCAUAUUUCAAAUACUUGAUGGAUACAUGUGGCUAGUGGCUAACAUAAUGGAUAGCACAGAUAUAAAACAUUUCCUCGUCAUACAAAGUUCUAUUGGAUAGUGCUGGUCUGUAGCUUAUAGGAUGGUAUCUUAGUCUGCUUCAGCUGCUAAAACAGAAUACCAUAAAUUAGGUAGCUUAAACAGUAGGUAUUUUGACCAGGCGUGGUGGCUUAUGCCUGUAUUCCUAACACUUUGGGAGGCCGAGGCAGGUGGAUAACUUGAGCUCAGGAGUUUGAGACUAGCCUGAGCAGCAUGGCAAAACCUUGUCUCUACAGAAAUUAGCUGGGCAUGGUGGUGCACGCCUGUAGUCUGAGCUACUUGGGAGGCUGAGGUGGGAGAAUUGCUUGAACCUGGGAGGCGGAGGUUGCAGUGAGCCAUGAUCGCACCACUGUACUCCAGCCUGGAUGACAGAAUGAGACUCUGUCUCAAAAAACAAAAAACGAGAUAUUUCUCACAGUUCUGGAGACUGGAAGUGCAAGAUCAAAGUGUUGGCAAAUUACGUUUCUUAAAGAGGGCCUGCUUCCUAGAUUGGAAAUGGCCAUCUUCUCUCAGUAUCCUCACAUGGUAGGGAGAAAAGCAGCUCUAGUGUCUCUUCUUAUAAAGGAAGUAAUGCCACCAUAGGGGCUCUAUUCUCAUGACCUNNNNNNNNNNNNNNNNNNNNNNNNNACCAUUAGCUCUUUUUAUAGGCUCGAGAACAACAGGAUGCUUUGGUCCUGUAUCAGCAGGAUGCUUUUCGGGUAGAUCCUACCUGCCACCCUAGCUAUGGGCACAUGUCAGAGUCCCAUGUAAUAAAGGAGACAAAAGGAAACCACCACGAGUAUAAACUAAGAAAAGUACUCCAAGGUUUCUAAGAAUGGAGCUGUAUAACUCACUUUGCCCCAUUUGUUACUUCUCCACGGUACUUACCACCACCUAUUACAUAUAUUUUGUUUAUAGUCAGUCUUCCCUCAUUAGAAUGAAAGUUCCGUGAGGAUAGGACUAUACAGUCAGCCCUUAGUAUCCAUGGGGUACUAGUUUCAGGAUCUCCUGAGGAUAACAAAGGAUACUCAAGUCCCUGAUAUAAAAUGACAUAGUAUUUGCACAUCACCUUUGCACAUCCUCCCAUAUACUUCAUAUCAACUCUAGAUCACUCAUAAUAUCCGAUGUAAAUGUCAUGCAAAUAGUUAUUGUACUAUAUUGUGUAAGGAAUAAGGAGAAGAAAAAAGUCUGUACAUGUUCAGUACAGACGCAAUUUUUUUUUCCAAUAUUUCCAAUCCUCGGUUGGCUUAAUAAACAGAUGUAGAACGCAGGAAUAAGUUCUGGUGUCCUAUUGCAUAGUAGGAUGAGUAUAGUUAACAAUAACGUAUCAUAUAUUUGAAAAUAGCCAGAAGAGUAGAUUUUGAAUUUUCUCCCUACAGAAAAAUCAUUAUGCAAAUUACCCUGAUUUGAUCAUUACACAUUGAGUACAUGUAUUAAAACAUCACAUUGUACCCCAUAUAUAUGUACAAUUAUUAUGUGUCAAUAAAAAUUUAAUGUCAAUAUGUGAAAUAAAAUGAAAAAAUAAUUUUUAAAGCUGUAAUUAUCUCCAUCUGGUAGGAAUAUAUAUAAUCUGAAAUAAAAAAUAUAUUUGUAAUUGUUAGGACAAAAUAGAUUAUAGAUUAUUUUAAGUUUGCAAAUUAUAAAUUAUAAAAUGCUCACAGAACCUGAAAAAUUAUCGGUAUUGUUAAAUAUUUAAAAAGCUGUCCUUGGAGAGAAAGAAACCUAUCAGAUUUACAUCAACAAGUGUAAUAUAUCAGCCUAUUACCAUCUGCUACAGACUGCAUGUUUGUGUUCCCUCAAAAUUCAUAUGACAGGCCGGGCGCAGUGGCUCAUGCCUGUAAUCCCAGCACUUUGGGAGGCCGAGGCGGGUGGAUCACGAGGUCAGGAGAUCGAGAUCAUCCUGGCUAACAUGGUAAAACCCCGUCUCUACUAAAAAUACAAAAAAUUAGCCGGGCGCAGUGGCGGGCGCCUUAGUCCCAGCUACUGAGGAGGCUGACGCAGGAGAAUGGCGUGAACCCAGGAG